UUGGAGGGCAAGUCUGGUGCCAGCAGCCGCGGUAAUUCCAGCUCCAAUAGCGUAUAUUAAAGUUGUUGCAGUUAAAAAGCUCGUAGUUGAAUUUCGGGGUUAGUAGGUUGGUCAUGCCUCUGGUAUGUACUGGUCUCACUGAUUCCUCCUUCCUGAUGAGCCGUAAUGCCAUUAAUUUGGUGUUGCGGGGAAUUUGGACUGUUACUUUGAAAAAAUUAGAGUGUUUAAAGCAAGCUAACGCUUGAAUACAUUAGCAUGGAAUAAUGAAAUAGGACGUUCGAUCCUAUUUUGUUGGUUUCUAGGAUUGACGUAAUGAUUAAUAGGGAUAGUUGGGGGCAUUAGUAUUCAAUUGUCAGAGGUGAAACUCUUGGAUUUAUUGAAGACUAACUACUGCGAAAGCAUUUGCCAAGGAUGUUUUCAUUAAUCAAGAACGAAAGUUAGGGGAUCGAAGACGAUCAGAUACCGUCGUAGUCUUAACCAUAAACUAUGCCGACUAGGGAUCGGAUGAUGUUAAUUUUUUAAUGACUCAUUCGGCGCCUUACGGGAAAC
rnacentral:rRNA from 1 species